rnacentral:lncRNA from 1 species
UCCGUAAUCAACCCCAGAGUCUGACAAGGAAAAGAUGCUUGGGAAUGCUUGACAGUGAAUGAACACAUUAGUCAGUCAAUGCAUCUUCCCUUCUUUCCCCUCUGGAAUCUUAUCAGGUCCUGAAAAAUCAUACUCCAGGAUUCUGCAGGACUUUAAGCAUCUAUCCCAGGGUGGUGUGAAGAAGCCCCACUACUGAGCUGAGAAGCUGGAGUCCCAAUUUCUACUCAGAACCUCCAUCAAUGGACUGACCCAUGUCCCCAGCAUGUGAACAGACACAGGUCAGGCAAGUUGCCCAAAGACACGACCAGCCAGGGCUGAGAGCACCAAGGCCUGAAAGAGGAAGGACCAGCGGAUGCUAUGGGGUGGCGCCUCUUCUCGGUGCCCACAGAUUCCACCGAAGCUGGAGCUGCUUGACUCACAGAGGGUGCACGGCGCUCCACCAGCUGUCUCCUUCUCACCCAGCUCGGGAGUCCCUGGUUAACCCCUCCAUCCACCCUGCCUCUGACCAGGUUGCAGCAUCUGGCUCCCCACCUCCAGGGAAGGAAAACAGAAAAUACUGGGAAGUGACAGGGCCCUAAACCACUUGGAUGGAAAUAGAGUCACUGGGAGCCACAGGGAGAAGGACUGGGCCAAGAAGCUGAUUGCAUUGCUCCUGGCAACCACACGUCCCAG